GGGAACAUGCAAUGACUGCUCCUUGUGGUCCUGCAGGCUCCUUCUUCUGCCGUUGGUGUGCAGCUUCUUUGUCUAAUUUGCAGCCAUAGUGUGGUCAUUUUUUCCCUUUGUCCUUUACAUCCUUCUGGUUGUUUUUCCUCCAUGUCAGUAAAAGAAUAAACUUUUCUUACUUUUCACCUUACUGUCCUUAAUGAUACCAACCCCUUUGAUAGGAUGAGGGGGAAUGGCUUCAAACAGGAAGAAAGAUUUAAAUUUGAUAUUAGGAAGAAAUUCUUUGCUGUGAGGAUGUUGAGACCCUGGCCCAGGUUGCUGUGGCCAGAGAAGCUGUGGCUGCCCCAUCCCUGGAGGGGUUCAAGACCAGGUUGGAUGGGGCUUUGAGCAACCUGCUCUAGUGGGAAGUGUCGCUGCCCAGGGCAGGGGGUUGGAGCUUGAUGAUCUUUAAUGUUCCUUCCAACCCAAACCAUUCUAUGAUUUUAUGAAUAUCUUCCUCAAGACAAGCUGCCAGCUUUAUAGUUGCUUGAGUGCCCUGAACAGGAAGGCAGCUGAGAUGUCCACCUUCAGGUUAUCAAAAUCCAUGUUUGGGUCCCAGCUGGGUAAACUCUUCAUCUGGCACAAAGCCUGGCUUUGCAUUACAGUCGGUAAAGCACAGACAAAUAUUAGUGCUGCUCUGUAGACCUAAAGCUGAAUUUCUGCUCUCUGGUUCCACAAGCAUCUCAUUUGCCCUCAUAUUUCAAGGGCUUUGGAAGUAACUUGUAAGCCCUGUGUUUGCUUAUGUCUUCUCUAAGCUUGGAGGUCUCUCUGAUGGGCGAGAUGGAGUCCAGCCACUGUGCCUGGAGGGAACAGGAGGCAGCUCACUCUGCACCAUUGCACCCAACACUGGGAAGAAGCUCUGAUUUCCAGGCAGGUUUUGGCUAAGUCAGGUCUGGGCAGGUUUCCACGGGGCUCACCAAGGCCACUGAAUGGACAGCAGGGCUUUUCCCUGACUGGAUUUCAUCCCGUUUAUCGUAAGUUGUGGACGUGCUGUGAGGACAAAGGUUGGGCAAUUGUACCAAAGGUCUGUCGUCCCUUCCUGUCAUUUGCACAGAGGACACUGGAGGAAGAGGAUGGAAAAGGGAAGGUAAAGGAUCCUGUGGCUUCAAGUUGGCUGAGGACAUCCCAUCAUCAGAGGUGGCACAGGCACAAAAGGGUAAACAGGAGGAAAGAGUCAUUUUAUCCUAUUUCAGGGUCUUCUUCAGGAGGUAAGUGAUUGUUAGACCCUAAAAGCUCAGUUCAGAGCUCUGUGCCUCUAAGAAGACAUUUAUGGAUUUAAUACUCACAGUGUUUAUUCCUGCCCUUUUAUAUUUCAUCAUUUGAUUAAGUAAAUAUUUUUUUAAGAUAGAAACCCAAACCCAAACAAUAAAACCAAAUGCUCCUGACUACUCA
rnacentral:lncRNA from 1 species